CUCCUCUACGCUCUGCCGAUCGCGCUGGAUAACGGCUAGCUGAAAAUGAAACGAGCGUUCUAAAAAUGGAUCGUCUUCAUUUAAAAAACUCUUGUAGGAUGCAUCCUGGUUUCUAGAGAUGAAUCGCGAAUUUUUAUACAGGAUCUCUCGAUAGGGAGUGGCACUUCUGCAGGGCAUCUGGAACACCUUCGCUACCGGCGAUUACUGCAACGUACGAAAACAUUCAUUUAUUGCGUGACGAGGAAUUUUCAACUGAAUUAAUAAAAAAUAGACACUAGAAUUAUUACCUGGCAUCGUGCUAUCGGAGCGAUCUUACGAGUAUUUACGUGCUAUAAAGUAGCGUAACCGGCUAAAGAGACACAGAGCCUAUUCUGGAACUCAUAACGAGAUGAUUAAA